GCCCUUGUAGCUCAACUUGGAUAGAGCGACACCCCCCUAAGGUGUAGGUUGCAGGUUCAAAUCCUGUCAAGGGCG
rnacentral:tRNA from 1 species